rnacentral:lncRNA from 1 species
GGAGGGAACAGUGCCCAGUCAUCUGAUGCUUCAGGACAUGCAUUGAGCUUGACGGGGUCUGUUACUUGGGAAUGAGAGGCCACUCAUGGAAAAGGCUCCAUACAGAGAGUAAGGCCAGCAGAGGUCAUCGUUUCUUCCACCACCACUCCUGUUCUCCUGCUGCCACUAUAUGGGGAGGUAGACUAUCUGGAAUUUUUGAAGCCUCACUCAAAAGCAUGGGGAAGAAAACAAAGAUUGGAGAUGUCUGACUGAUGGUCUCAAGGACCUCUGAGGAGACAGCGGCUGGCUGGGCAGACUUUGGGCCGUUUUUCCAAUGACAUGCGAUCUCUUGUGCUUUAUUUGUGGUGGCACUCAGGCACUCACUGCCACCUGAACCAGCAGAUGCCAGGAUUGGCUUCACCUGCUUCUGGGGCUGAACGAAAAGAAGAUGGCAUACAUUCAGUGCAGACAGCACUUCUUACCAUGAUGGAGGUAGUAACGCAGGGCUUGGGAGAAGUCUCUGCAGCCUACUGUGUAUUACUGGGAGCCCUCAGGUGGAGUUUGAAGAACUCUAAAAGGAAGCUCUGUUUCCUGCCCAGGGAUCUGUCAGCCAGGCUGGACAGUUAUAAUUGCCCAUGUAAGUCUCUGAAAGCUGCUGGGAAUAUGGCAUUAAAUUGUAUCACUGGAAGGGGUUUGUGAUCUCCGCUUUCAAAGCUGAAGUGUCAUUAGUAAAUCUAUUGGGGCAGUUUUCACUGUUGAAGCAUAAAUUACUGAGAGGCCUGAAAGAACUAGCUCAGAAAAACCUGAGUAAGUGCCCACAGCCAACAAGUUCUAAAGAAAGAAGGAAGAGUGACAUUAGCUAUUACUGCCUUAUCUCCUGUCUUGGUCCUGGAGGACUUUGCAGGAGUUGCUGGGAACUGAUGCUGUUGAUUCAGAGGAAAUGAGCUCUUUCCCACAUUUACUUAUCUCUUUGGAUAUGUUCUUUGAUUUCCAGACCUGUUUCUCUUAAUCCCUUGGGUAGGAAAUAAGAAAGGAGAAACAAUGUAAGAGCUGCUUGAAAUAUAUUUAUUGAAACCCUGAUCUCCAGAGAGAGAUAGCGGAAACCAUGCAAGUCACCCUGUAAAAAAAUAAAAAAGAAUAAUUUAAUAAGCA